GGCCCCAUCGUCUAGUGGUUAGGACGCUAGCCUCUCACGUUGGCAACACGGGUUCGACUCCCGUUGGGGCUA
rnacentral:tRNA from 1 species